CAGACCAUCCAGGUUCUGCAGGGCUGUGCCCAUAAUGUCUCCUGGGAUCCAAAAGGAGAGAGAGAAGGAACUGUACUAGGAACACAAAAGAAAAAGAUGUGGCCCUUCCUCUUCAGGAGCCCCCAACACAGUGUGGAAGACAGAUAUAGACAGUGAACUCUAAUACAAUAAGAUAAGUGCUAUGUCAGACUUACGAAUAAAAUAGACAAAACAGAGACACUGUGACUGCAAAGGAUCUCAAUAGAGGGUGAGGGAGUAAAGAAAGAGCCUAACAUUCAUAGGGCUCGGUAAUUGAAGAUGGUGGCAGUAAGACGAAAGGAUUCCCCACGGACUACUGAGUAAGGGAGAGUCAGGUCAACAAAGAACGGCUUGAAAGCAGUUAGUCCAACAGUGGGUGAAAGCCCGAAGCCUCUUGACUGGGAAGUGCAGAAACUCAUCGCCUUCCACUCGGUGAUGGCGUCAGGAACUGUGACGUGGACCGCCUCCUUCCCCGAGUUACUGUGAAAACACAAGGACCAACAUGAGGCAGAGGUAGCGUGGGGCAAGGAGAACAUUUGUGAAUUAAGCCACAAAUUC
rnacentral:lncRNA from 10 species